rnacentral:rRNA from 1 species
UACGGGAGGCAGCAGUGAGGAAUAUUGGUCAAUGGCCGAGAGGCUGAACCAGCCAAGUAGCGUGCAGGAUGACGGCCCUAUGGGUUGUAAACUGCUUUUAUACGGGGAUAAAGUGCGCCACGUGUGGCGUUUUGUAGGUACCGUAUGAAUAAGGACCGGCUAAUUCCGUGCCAGCAGCCGCGGUAAU